AGAGUUUGAUCCUGGCUCAGAUUGAACGCUGGCGGCAUGCCUUACACAUGCAAGUCGAACGGCAGCACGGGGGCAACCCUGGUGGCGAGUGGCGAACGGGUGAGUAACAUAUCGGAACAUACCCUAGAGUGGGGGAUAACGUAGCGAAAGUUACGCUAAUACCGCAUACGAUCUAAGGAUGAAAGUGGGGGAUCUUCGGACCUCAUGCUCAUGGAGUGGCCGAUAUCUGAUUAGCUAGUUGGUGAGGUAAAGGCUCACCAAGGCGACGAUCAGUAGCUGGUUUGAGAGAACGACCAGCCACACUGGAACUGAGACACGGUCCAGACUCCUACGGGAGGCAGCAGUGGGGAAUUUUGGACAAUGGGGGCAACCCUGAUCCAGCAAUGCCGCGUGAGUGAAGAAGGCCUUCGGGUUGUAAAGCUCUUCUGUCAGGGAAGAAACGGUGAGUUCUAAUACAGCUUGCUAAUGACGGUACCUGAAGAAUAAGCACCGGCUAACUACGUGCCAGCAGCCGCGGUAAUACGUAGGGUGCAAGCGUUAAUCGGAAUUACUGGGCGUAAAGCGUGCGCAGGCGGUUAUAUAAGUCAGAUGUGAAAUCCCUGGGCUCAACCUAGGAACUGCAUUUGAGACUGUAUGGCUAGAGUGUGUCAGAGGGGGGUAGAAUUCCACGUGUAGCAGUGAAAUGCGUAGAGAUGUGGAGGAAUACCGAUGGCGAAGGCAGCCCCCUGGGAUAACACUGACGCUCAUGCACGAAAGCGUGGGGAGCAAACAGGAUUAGAUACCCUGGUAGUCCACGCCCU
rnacentral:rRNA from 1 species